GACGAACGCUGGCGGCGUGCUUAACACAUGCAAGUCGAACGGAAAGGCCCUGCUUUUGUGGGGUGCUCGAGUGGCGAACGGGUGAGUAACACGUGAGUAACCUGCCCUUGACUUUGGGAUAACUUCAGGAAACUGGGGCUAAUACCGGAUAGGAGCUCCUGCUGCAUGGUGGGGGUUGGAAAGUUUCGGCGGUUGGGGAUGGACUCGCGGCUUAUCAGCUUGUUGGUGGGGUAGUGGCUUACCAAGGCUUUGACGGGUAGCCGGCCUGAGGGGGUGACCGGCCACAUUGGGACUGAGAUACGGCCCAGACUCCUACGGGAGGCAGCAGUGGGGAAUAUUGCACAAUGGGCGGAAGCCUGAUGCAGCAACGCCGCGUGCGGGAUGGCGGCCUUCGGGUUGUAAACCGCCUUCGCCUGUGACGAAGCGUGAGUGACGGUAAUGGGUAAAGAAGCACCGGCUAACUACGUG
rnacentral:rRNA from 1 species